UUUAAAUGGAAAUUCAGGAACCUGGAAACUUUCAACCAAACAUUCAGACACACAAUUUAUUUGUUUAGUUUUUAUAGGAAACGACUCAUUUAGUUGUAUUUUAUUCCAUUCAGUUGGAAAUUAUUUUUAUUAAUUGGAUAAAACUAUAAGCAAAUAUCUGUUUGAUGGUUUUGGCAUAAUAUAUGACAUAAUAUAUACCAACCCCUAUUGGGUAAAGGGCGGGACCAAAUAGGGUUUAAGUCUCAAAUAAUCUUCUUCUGACCUGCAUAUGUCAAAAUUAAAUUUUAUCAAUGUCAAUGCCAAGGUUGCAGUUACUGCAAAUAUAACCUACGAUAUAUAUCAGGUAUGGCCCCACAUAAAGGAAAAGGCCGGUGUGAUUAUACAAUCAGUAUCUUGUUUUCUGGAGAUUAUCUGGAAAAUGCAGAAAGCUAAACUUUCUAAAUCUUUAUAUGGUACUGUACUGUGAUUUAUUUUUUUGUUGUUUGUUUGUUUGUUUGUUUUUUGUUUUGUUUUUGUUUAACGUCCUAUUAGCAGCCAGGGUCAUUUAAGGACAUGCCAGGUUUAGGACGUGGAGGAAAGCCGGGGUACCCGGAGAAAAAAACCACCGGCCUACUGUCAGUACCUGGCAACUGCCCCACAUAGGUUUCGAACUCGCAACCCAGAGGUGGAGGGCUAGUGUUAAAGUGUCGGAACACCUUAAACACUCGGCCACCGCGGCCCCACUGUACUGUGAAAUGUAGAUGUGAAAUUAAAAGAACGAAAAAUGACGAAUGCCAGUUAGUUGGACAUGGGUAGAAGUAUAUACAAUGGCACGUCUGAUGUGUGAAUUGACACGUGUCUCGACCUUUAGACAUGUGUCAAUCAGAUUCUGGGUGUUGGACCUUGCCAGGUGGUACUUCGUGGACCAUGAUGGAAUGACCUUCGAGUGUAUCAUAUGCGGGAGAAUGGAACCAUAUAGAGAAAGAAGAUUCUCUGAAGAGGAGUUGAAGUUGAUUCAUCAUACCGACUGUCGAGUACGAAAGAAUGGAGUCCGGGUACGCUCCUGAUACCAAAGUAACCGAGAACACACGUGUUUAAUAUGAUCGACGGAAACCUUAUUUCAACACCAUUUUUCGAUCUAUUGAGGCAAAAUGCAAUUUAUUCGACAGAAAUAGAACUGCAAAAUACUUUUGAAACUUGCAAUGUCAACAUCUUGGUUUUGUGGCGAAGUUUGGCAACCCCCACUCAGAAUUGGGUUCAGCAAGUUUUACGUCAAAUAUACAUAAUGUCAUGCUGUAGUUGGCAAUGGUUCGUGAUUGUCAUUUUCAUGUAUUUUUUGUUUGGAAUAUCAAUUAAAUGUCACCAUAUACACGUAUAUGGUGACCAUAUUCAACCACA